rnacentral:lncRNA from 1 species
AUGACAAACCAACAGCCAACAUUAUACUGAAUGGGCAAAAGCUAGAUGAAAAAAAAACAGGAAAUGGAAGGCUUGUUUAGAAUUGAAAGGUGAAUCUCUGCCAAGCUGUUCUAGCAUCUGCCUGCUGCCUGCUCUCUCUUCACCUCCCACUACCGCACCUCUUUAAACUUACAUGCACGUCAGACUAUUAUUCAUUUAUUUGAUUAUCUUUCCAGUUCGCUGAGUUUCUCUAGGACUCGAAGUUUGGGUUUACUAAUUGGCAAAUUCCUAGGCCUAUAAUUAGUAUUUACUGUGUGUUUCCUUAAAUAAAUAACAAAUGAAUAAAUGAAAAAACGAAUGAGUGAAAAAUACGUUUAAAGGCAUUUGAAGUUGAGAGAAGAAAUCAGAGUUAGGAAGGGAAGUAUCUCAUCUUUCCUUUCUGUUUCCUGUGCUAAAGUUAUGCAUCCUCUGGGCUUGGUUGUUUAGUGAGCCUUCUGUGAUUAUCAGCAGUCAGGCAGUGCUAGUACUACAGGUUACACAGGACUACUUUAGCCUUUGUUUCUAAGUGAUUACUUAGGUGACUUGAAGGAAGUUGGGAUAGCCUUCCUGGCUUGACCUUACUUGGAUUUUAUUAUAUUUUUCCAGCUGACUGCAUGGAAGCCAGUUGUAAAAGGCAGAGAAUUACCAGAGAAUA